rnacentral:rRNA from 1 species
UACAGAGAUCCCAAGCGUUGUUCGGAUUCACUGGGCGUAAAGGGUGCGUAGGCGGUCGGAUAAGUCUGAUGUGAAAUCUUCGAGCUCAACUCGGAAACUGCAUCGGAAACUAUUCGGCUGGAGGAUUGGAGGGGAGACUGGAAUUCUCGGUGUAGCAGUGAAAUGCGUAGAUAUCGAGAGGAACACCAGUGGCGAAGGCGAGUCUCUGGGCCGAUACUGACGCUGAGGAGCGAAAGCGUGGGGAGCGAACAGG